AUACAAAUGGGCGUUACUGAUGUCGAGGAGAAGAGUUAGAAGCUCUUGGAUUGAGAAUCUGAGAUUUAUAUAGGUUCAGUAGAACAAAAAGUUUCGGAUUCACUACUCCAGAUACAACGAUGCGGUUGCACAGAGGAGUAUAAGGAUUUCUUCAUCGGGCCAGUCCACGUGGAAGAUGUCGCGUUAGCCCAUAUCACGUUGUUUGAAAACCCGGCUGCAUCCGGGAGGCACCUCUGUGUGGAGCCCAUAUGUCACUUGAGCGAUUUCGCGUCCCAAGUCGCGGAGCUCUACCCCGACUACGAAGUCCCGAAAUUACCUGAGGACACGCAGCCUGGGCUGGUGAGGGUGGAGGUGGUGCCGAAGAAGCUGAUGGCACUGGGCCUGCAUUUCACUCCUUUGGAAAAGAUCAUCAAGGAUGCGGUGGAGAGCCUUCGGAGAAGAGGAUGCAUCGCCUGAUGGCUGGAUUAUUAGCUGUACCAUAUUCCUUCCCUUCUGUUGUAGGGUCAUGAUCAACCCUUGCUCCAGAGAUAUGUUG